rnacentral:misc_RNA from 1 species
AGAACAGUGUUUUUUAUCUCCAAGGGUGCAUCUCUAAAGAAUUCUUCCUCGGGAACAAGUUCAAUAUCAGGAUAUUUUGACCUGAAAUCUUUGCAGGCCUUUAUAGCUUUCACAUAAUGACUUUUUUCAUACAUCAAGUUGUGGAGCUGCAGCGUGGUGAAGUCCACAGGAGCUUUUGCACGUUCAGUUUCCCCCUUCACA